rnacentral:rRNA from 1 species
AACGAACGCUGGCGGCAGGCCUAACACAUGCAAGUCGAGCGGACCUUUCGGGGUCAGCGGCGGACGGGUGAGUAACGCGUGGGAAUAUGCCCUUCUCUACGGAAUAGUCCUGGGAAACUGGGGGUAAUACCGUAUACGCCCUUUGGGGGAAAGAUUUAUCGGGGAAGGAUUAGCCCGCGUUGGAUUAGGUAGUUGGUGGGGUAAUGGCCUACCAAGCCGACGAUCCAUAGCUGGUUUGAGAGGAUGAUCAGCCACACUGGGACUGAGACACGGCCCAGACUCCUACGGGAAGCAGCAGUGGGGAAUCUUAGACAAUGGGGGCAACCCUGAUCGAGCCAUGCCGCGUGAGUGAUGAAGGCCUUAGGGUUGUAAAGCUCUUUCAGCUGGGAAGAUAAUGACGGUACCAGCAGAAGAAGCCCCGGCUAACUCCGUG